CACGGAUGGAGCAAGUGCCAUACCUCGUUGCUGGGCGUUAAGGGUGCGUAGGCGGCCGUGUAACCUACACGCGAAACGUUGGGGUAAGACCUUCACAUGCGUGUUGAAGUGCACUGUCUUGGGGCAGUCGGAGGUGGGGGGAACGGGUAGAGUAGGGUUGAAUUCCUUUGAUACUACCCUGAACACCAGUCAAGCGAAGGCGCCCUUCCACGACUAGUCCGACGCUGAGUCACGAAGGGGUGGGGAGCGAACCGG
rnacentral:rRNA from 1 species